rnacentral:rRNA from 1 species
UACGUAGGGGGCGAGCGUUGUCCGGAUUCAUUGGGCGUAAAGAGCCCGUAGGCGGCUUGGCAAGUCGGGUGUGAAAACUUCAGGCUCAACCUGGAGCGGCCACUCGAUACUGCCAUGGCUUGAGUCCGGUAGGGGACCACGGAAUUCCUGGUGUAGCGGUGAAAUGCGCAGAUAUCAGGAGGAACACCGGUGGCGAAGGCGGUGGUCUGGGCCGGAACUGACGCUGAGGAGCGAAAGCGUGGGGAGCGAACAGG